rnacentral:rRNA from 1 species
UACGGGGGGGGCGAAGCGUUGUUCGGAAUUACUGGGCGUAAAGGGCUCGUAGGUGGCCAACUAAGUCAGACGUGAAAUCCCUCGGCUUAACCGGGGAACUGCGUCUGAUACUGGAUGGCUUGAGUUCGGGGAGAGGGAUGCGGAAUUCCAGGUGUAGCGGUUGAAAUGCGUAGAUAUCUGGAGGAACACCGGUGGCGAAGGCGGCAUCCUGGACCGACACUGACGCUGAGGAGCGAAAGCCAGGGGAGCAAACGGGGAU